CUAAUUCUCGCUGGAACACAACCAGGCUGACAGUUCCCCCGCUCUAGGCCUGAUGGGUGAAUCCAGGCAUCUUGGCGCUCUGCUGACAUCAUGGAAAAUCUUAGCUGCAUGGCCGCAGAGCACACACUUGCCAAUUAGCAGGGAAGCCCACAGAGGAAAGAGGCUGGGAUCCGUGGUUCUCUGAGUUGGGCAGAGCUGUGGACUUCUGGCUCCUCUCUUGCUGGGCUCCACACCGCGUCAUCACAGCUGUUUGAGUGGUUUAUCUCAGACUUGUUAGAAGGGAGAAGAGAAUUGGUUCUUUCUCCCCCUCCUUUAAAAGGGUCAAAGCUGGCAGGUUGUCUGUGACGCCUGUAUCCCGCCUGCCGUGGGCGCCCCUUCCAUCUCUGCUGUCAGAGGUUCUCAUGGAACUGUGCACCAGAACCUUCGGUGACCCUUCAGAAACAGACAAUCAGGAUGCCUCCUCAUGGCUGUUAGUAGGUCAAGGAUCCAGGGUGCAGCCCUGUCUGCCCAACGCCAAAGCCAAGGCUUGAGAGCACACUGCUCUCUGCCAGGAAUUGUGAACGACUUCUGGACUCCACCAACAAGUCACCCACUAUCAGAUGUGGGGAACAGGGGCCUCCUACAGAACACACUGAAGAGCUCUCUCCCAAGGCAGGACCAGCCAGGUCCUUAAAGUAGCCAGCACCCCUCAACCUACCCAAUAGCUGUUGGGGGCUGAGCUCACCCUCUAGGGACCUCCUGGGAAGCAAGCUAUUGGCAGGUGGAAAUGCAAAGCCUUAUUCUGGAAUGUUCUUGGCCAGUUGCUGAACCAUUCCUCCUUUGGCAAUGCAGGUGUCCCUAGUCUGAAAGUCUGGGGUCAAGGAAACUCAAAGAUUGGGGCAGCUCUGGGAUGUCCCGAAGGCCCUCUCUUAUUCCUAGAACAACUGAACAUGCGCAGUUAUCCUUUCUUUUCAUGUGAAGCCUCUCUCCUGGAUCACCACUCCCCGAUAGCCCCCGUCCCCUGUCAGCAUGAUCGAAACCUUCUCUGGACUGGGUCUUUCCGGGCAGCAACCUUAGGAAUAGGAACCCACAGCCUGGGGGAGGCCCAGCAGCCAUUUCCUCCUGUUGCCCCCAAGGCUAGUUUAAAGAUGCCAGCUGAGCUCCAGGAUUGCAAGAGGGGAAGACCUAUCACAAGGAGGUGAGAGAAAGCUUAUAGGGGAACCUCCUGAUGAGCAAGGCUUGCAGGUGUCAGCCCUGCUCCUGACAGGGCAGGAGGACAGGAGCUUCCUCUGCCCUGUGGGGAGCUGACCUCCACAGUGGGAGCAGUGAUGGGUGUACCGGUCUCUGUCUUACCAUGGUGCUGGGCAGCAGGACCCAGCUUAGUAUGUUUGGCAGGAUCUGCUGGCCCUGAGGGAUCCCCACCUUCAGGGUGGGUGCUCAGCUGCCUUCAACUGGGUACGGAUGGGGCUGAGUCCCCGUGAGAGGCCAGUGGUUGCGAUGGAGUUACUGUUUCCCCUAUCAGACACCCAUCUUCUUGUCUCAGUAGGGUGGACAUCACCUUUCUACUCUAUGGGCAGAUGGGGAAUGCAUGUUUGGAGGGGUGCAGCUGUCUGGGAGUGUGCAGCAGGCUGGGGCUCCUGACCUCUCACAGAAGGUUCUCUUUGAGAAUCUGGUCUAGAUUCCCACUCUGGUCUUAGCUGCUGGUGCUGUUUUGUUUUGGGAGGUUGCAAAACCUUUAUGAGG